AUGCGGAGAUCGCGCGUAUCCGCGCCUCUCUGCCGCAGGCGGCGAGGAAAGGUCCGCGGUACGUCCCCGACAGCCCGCUGUGGGAGCCCUACUUCCGUCGCCGCCAUGCCGAGCAGCUCGAGGCCACCAAUGGCGUCGUGCCUUCCGGAAGGCUCAACUCCGAAGGCCGCCGCCGAUGGUGGGGCGUGCCCGGCCGCACGCUGGAGGCUGUCCUCGAGUACAUCAAGGGCGGCAACACGCCCAGGCUGGAGUACCCCGCUCCCCCGUCCUUUUCCCGCCGGCAUGGGAGCUCGUGGAUGCCGAGGCGCAUGGACCCGGGGGCGUCCUCCUCCUCGUCCGACCGUUCGUCCGGCUCUCCCUGCCUCCGCCCCGUCAAGCCGGAGCCCCAGGACACGCCGGUCAGCCAGCGCACCCGCAGCUCCGGUGUCCGCAUCGCCGACUCGUCCCCCACCACUGGCCGCCUCGUCCUCGUCAGGCCGAAGGUGGAGCCCGGCAUCCCCGCGGAGUACGAGGCCAUAG
rnacentral:rRNA from 1 species